rnacentral:rRNA from 1 species
GUUAAUUGUUUAAUCAAUUUAAUUUGAAAUAAAUUUAUUAUUAAAAUUUUAUAUUAUUAAUUUUUUAAAAGAAAUAUAUUUGUAGUUUUAUUAAUUUAUUAAAAAUAAUUAUUUUUAUGAUAGUUUAUAGUAUUGUGAAAGAAUUAUUUAAUUGAUAAAAAGAAGAUUUUAUUUUUUGUACCUUGUGUAUCAGGGUUUAUUAAAAUUAAUUAAAAAUUUAAUAUUCUCGAAUUUAAAAGAGCUAAAAAGUUAUUAAUAUUAAUGUAAAAUAAUUAUAAAUAAUAAUUUUUUAGUAAUGAAAUGUUAUUCGUUUUUAAAUAUAUCUAGUUUUUUAAGAAAAAAAUUUAAUUUUUACAUUUUGAAUAUUUUUUUAAUUAUUUAAUUUAAUAUUAUUAAUGUUUUAUAUUUUUAGGGAUUAGCUUAAAAAUAAAUUUUUAUUAGAAAUAAAAAUUAAAAAAUAUUUUAGGAUUAAAAAUUUUCAUAAUUUAAGUAUGUUAUAAUUUAUUUUUUUGAUAAUAUAAUUUUUAUUUUUUAUAAGUUUUUUAUUAAAAUAUAAUUUUUAAUUUUAAAAAAUUAGAAAUAAUGAUAAAAUUAGUAUAAAAUUAUUUAAUAAAUAAUUAUAAUAUUUAGGUUAUUUUAAGGAAUUCGGCAAAUUAUUUUUCACCUGUUUAUUAAAAACAUGUCUUUUUGUUUUAAAUUUAAAGUCUGGCCUGCCCACUGAAAUUUUGAAUGGCCGCGGUAUUUUGACCGUGCUAAGGUAGCAUAAUCAUUAGUUUUUUAAUUAAAAGCUGGAAUGAAGGGUUGGAUGAAAAAAUGACUGUCUCUGAAUUAUUUUAUUAGAAAUUUAUUUUUAAGUUAAAAAGCUUAAAUAAUUUUAAAAGACGAGAAGACCCUAUAGAGUUUUAUAAAAUUAAUUUUUAAAAAAUUUAGGAUUAAAAUUUUUGAAAAUUGAUUUUAUUUAAUUGGGGUGAUUAAAAAAUUUAAAAAACUUUUUUUUUAUUUAAAUAUAAAUUAAUAAAUUUAUGAUCCAAUAUUUUUGAUUAUAAGAAUAAGUUACCUUAGGGAUAACAGCGUAAUUUUAUUAGAGAGUUCAAAUCGAAAAUAAAGAUUGCGACCUCGAUGUUGGAUUAAAAUUUAUUCUUGGUGUAGAAGUUAAGAAUUUAAGUCUGUUCGACUUUUAAAAUUUUACAUGAUCUGAGUUUAAACCGGUGUAAGCCAGGUUGGUUUCUAUCUUUAAAAUGUUAACAUAUUUUAGUACGAAAGGACCAAAUAUUUAUAUAAAAUAUUUUUAUAGAAUAAAAUUGUUAUUUUGGCAGAUUAGUGCAAUAGAUUUAGAAUCUUUAUAUGUAAUUAUAUUACAGA